GAUGAACGCUGGCGGCGUGCCUAAUACAUGCAAGUCGAGCGAACAGACGAGGAGCUUGCUCCUCUGACGUUAGCGGCGGACGGGUGAGUAACACGUGGAUAACCUACCUAUAAGACUGGGAUAACUUCGGGAAACCGGAGCUAAUACCGGAUAAUAUAUUGAACCGCAUGGUUCAAUAGUGAAAGACGGUUUUGCUGUCACUUAUAGAUGGAUCCGCGCCGCAUUAGCUAGUUGGUAAGGUAACGGCUUACCAAGGCAACGAUGCGUAGCCGACCUGAGAGGGUGAUCGGCCACCCGGAAAUUGAGCCCCGGCCCAGCCCCCUACGGAAGGCAGCAGGAGGGAAUCUUCCGCAAGGGGCGAAACCCUAACGGAGCAACCCGGGGUGAGUGAUGAAGGUCUUCGGAUCGUAAAACUCUUUUAUUAGGAAAAAACAAAUUUGUAAUUAACUAUGCACUCCUUGGCGGUACCAAAUCAGAAAGCCGCGGCUACCUCCGU
rnacentral:rRNA from 1 species